ACCCUUUUGGAGUUCAGAAGUGUGAUGACUGGGUGUUCACACUCUUGUGUGACAUGUGACUCCCACAAACCUUGUUACAUUGGCACAUAACCUGUCUGACA